rnacentral:rRNA from 1 species
UAAUACGUAGGGUGCAAGCGUUAAUCGGAAUUACUGGGCGUAAAGCGUGCGCAGGCGGUUCGGAAAGAAAGGUGUGAAAUCCCAGGGCUUAACCUUGGAACUGCACUUUUAACUACCGAGCUAGAGUACGUCAGAGGGGGGUAGAAUUCCACGUGUAGCAGUGAAAUGCGUAGAGAUGUGGAGGAAUACCGAUGGCGAAGGCAGCCCCCUGGGAUGAUACUGACGCUCAUGCACGAAAGCGUGGGGAGCAAACAGGAUUAGAUACCCUGGUAGUCCACGCCCUAAACGAUGUCAACUAGCUGUUGGGGUUUAUUAACCUUAGUAGCGCAGCUAACGCGUGAAGUUGACCGCCUGGGGAGUACGGUCGCAAGAUUAAAACUCAAAUGAAUUGACGG